GGGUGCGAUCAUACCAGCACUCUAAUGCACAGGAUCCCAUUAGAACUCUGCAGCUAAGCGUGCUUGGGCGAGAGUAGUACUGGGAUGGGUGGCCUCUUGUGAGGUCCUUGUGUCGCACCCC